ACUAUCCUUGUCUUUGGGGAGCAAAGUAUUCAAUGAUCGUUUAGUGAGGGUACUGUUGCUGAAGCCCAUAAUUAAAAUGCCUGCAUCCACAUAAUUUCUUGUGUGAUGCAAUUUUUGGAGGC